rnacentral:lncRNA from 1 species
UUACUCUUAUGUGGAGCAGCUGCAUGCCCACCUUUUCCUUUGAUUGUUGCUGAAAAAAGGCCAGCGCCGGCUAGCAUUGGACCUGGCCGUGAAGCAAUGACACCCGUUGGCAGUGAUGGCAUAACAUGUAUGAAGAAGAUGGCAUCAAUAUCGUUAAGAAUGCCAUGUUGUAACAUAUGGUAAGCUCCGGCAUAACCCUCUUCUCCCGGCUGAAAAACCAGCUUCACAGUUCCCUUUAAAGUUCAAAAGAACCAAAAAGACAUAGAUCAAUUACAAUUUGGGUUUGCCGAAUUAAUAUCUGGUAAGUUACAUUGUUCAACCACAUAUCAAGUUAUCAACGAUAUAUGACAAAUGUACGACAAGUCAAUAUAUAUACCUUUAGAAUGUCUCUUUUACUUUGGAGUAACUUGGCUGCGCCAAGCAACAUUGCCACAUGAGAAUCGUGCCCACAUGCGUGCAUUUUGCCAUCUAUCUUGCUCUUGAACUCCCACUCUACUUGUUCCUUCAAAAUUCAAUGGGUAUAUUUUGAUCAUCAGUGACCAAAAAUAGAACAUUUACCUAGUUUAGCAUUUUCUGGUCAACAACACAGUUCCAUAAUAGCCGAUGAUCAUUUGGUCCAGUAGAACUUACAAUCAAAAUAUCACCUCCCCAAACAGGCCAAGGCAUGUUUACAUGCCAGAAACGGAUUGCAAGUUAAGAGUGUCACUCUCCGUUCUUGGCAUUUGCCUUGUGUUUACUAAUUAACACACAAGGAAUUAAAGAAGGGCUACAUGUUAUCAUUAAGUACAUACUACUUAGUACCUAAAAAAGGUUUGGGAUUAACCAAUGGGGAAAAUUAUGGGGUUCAAGUCCAACCUUGUGGACUAUCUCAUCCCUACGAAUCACACACUAAAAACUUUCUCCACCAAACCGGGGGAGUUAGAUGAAUCAAGUACACCGCAUGGUGAUGUCUCAAUUCAAUGAACACAAUCAUGCAGUGUGAGAUAAAGGUUGUGAUAUGAUACUUUAUUAUUAGACCGAGAUACCAUUCUGACGGAUACUUAAUCCAUCUACGUUCAUCCCGUACCAAUCAACCAUUUAUUAUUCUCAAGACUUCUCUCAAGUAAUUAAACAUGCCCCAAAUUCGUCGAGUUGAAUUCCUCAUAUUAUAUGGAACUCACGUGUACUUUCACUUUGAUUUCGAGUACGGAUUAGUAAACAUGCGGUUAAUUUGUUUUGUUUUGUACUUUUUAACCGAGGAGAUGACAGGUUCAAAUCAUUCGAUUAAAAACAAGGGAAAUUUAAAAAAAAACUUCUGAUACUAUUCAUCUUAACAAAAAAACAUACUUUUAACAUUAAAAAGUUAAUCCUGAUACUAUUCAAUAUACUAUUUAUUUUAUCAUUUUUGUUGAAAUUUAAAAAAUUUUAACAAUUUUUAUUAAUUUUUUUUUUUUUUAAACGAAGGAAAAGAGAGGACCUGAAGAGGGAGAGCGUCCAUGUCAGCCCUGAGAGCAAACACUGGUUUGGAGCCAGAACCAACGGAAGCCACCACACCAGUCUUGGCAACAGGCCACGUGUACUCAAUUCCUAGGGUGUCGAGCUCGGUCCUGAUGAGUUGACUCGUCCUGUGCUCUUCGAACCCAAUCUCUGGGUACUGGUGGAUUCUCCUCCUCACUCCCCUCAUCCACUCAAAGAACUCGGCCUCCUUCGCCGAUGCCAAGAGCUCCCGAGUCAGCAACUCGAGCUCUGUCUCACUAGUUUCCGAAGCCCAAGACUUGCCCAAAAUAGUUGGCAGCAAUAAGUAAAAGAGCAUAAACGCAGCCAUGGUCGGAUGAAAUUUUUUUUUUGGGUUUUUGUUGAAAUUUGAAAGUCAAUCACUCCAGACCAGGGAGCAACAAAAAGGAUAAGCUUUUUCUCCUGAAUUUCUGUAUUUGGCCUGCAAAUUUAUGUUUUGUUGUUUUGGGUUCCAAUAAUUCUUGUUCGAUUUGUUUAAUGACUUAUUUGUGUUUGUUUCUUUAUCACAUCACACCUCCUAGAAAGAUGAUAUAUUAACGCUAAUUUAUUAAUAAGAUAAUUUAAAAUUGUGCUCAAUUAGUUAACGAAAUUUUAAUCAACAUGCCUAUAUUAUUUUUGGGAAAGAGAUCAUCUCCUAAUCUCUUCCACCAUUGCUACCUAAUUAAGUGUUCCGGAUUUUUGAAAUUUGAUCCAACGGCUAAAGUUAUUAUAACUUUUAAAAGGAUUCCUGUUUUUAGCCGUUGAAUCAAAUUUCAAAAGCCUUGAUCACUUGAUUAGGUGACCUUCAUGGAAGAGAUUAGAAGAUGAUCUCUUUCAUUUGUUUGCUCCACCAACUCCAAUUCAAUUAUUUAUCCUUAUUGUCAUUUUUAGUUUAACGACUAUUUCUCUUAAGAUUUGAACUCGAAUCUUCCUCCAAUAGAUAGGAGAGUUUUUAUUUUUUUAUUUUUUUUUAUUUUUUACAACAAGUAAUAUGUUUACUAUAAAUUAUACAAAGGAGUAAGAAGAGGGAGAAAGUUUAAACUCGAAACGAAAUAGAUAGAAGAAUGUUUUAACCACAAAAGCAAUCCAUCACUUACUUUCAUUAACCCUUAACCACUAGAUGCACAAAUGUUAGUUCACCUUGCCAAAUACAACAUUAUGAGUACAUCUUUCAUACAAUUACAUACGAAUAAUGCAGCACGAUUUAUGCACUUUAACUUACUUAUGAUGAACUAUUUUCCUUGUUAUUAUUUUAUGACUCUCAUUUGAUUUAUUCAAUCUAACGAUUACCAAAAAAAAAAAAAAAAAAAAACAAAACAAAACAAAAGAAAUCAUGCAUAAGAGGAAAAAGAAGUGCGGAAAUAAUUUCUCUUGAAUGAUGUAAUUUUCAUUUUUAUAAUAAUGGAUAUAAACAUUUCAAGUUCCAACACGAGUUAUUCACUGUAAAACGAUAUACAUCAAACGCCUCUAUGCGUCACAACAGGAUCAACAUUAUCCGAAUAUGAGAGUGCGACUGCAGCAUGAAAGGCUGCUCCAAUUGGAAGAACCUCCUCAUCAAUCACCAAGAAGGGUGAAUCAAAUUCUCGUUCUUCGUCCCAAUCAUGAAGAAUGCAACAGCCCAUUUUUCGGCAUAGAAGCUAAAGUUCUCUGCUCCCAUAGCCAUUGGAAGUACCUUCAAAUGAGUAUUAUUGAGAAAAUUUGUUGAGUGCUUCCGACACAAUCUGUUGAGUGUUGUUAAGAUAUGUCUAGCAUACAUUAUAUCAAACACUUAGUGGGCACAUAGACACUCAUACCAAACAUUCAAAUGGUAUUCGGAAGACCUUCACAUGUAUAUUUCCAUAAUCCAGGUGGUUUGGUGGUUUGGGACAACUUUGAUUUCAAUGUACUUCCGCCAUUGCUCGUCACUUCUACUUUUGAGUACUACAAGCAUGAAUGACGUAAAUUGACCCACACAUGCAUACACAACCACUCCAAGCAUUUCCUUAGGUAAGAUUUGCUUUCAAAAUACAAUUACAGAGGGUAUAGAUGAAGUAAGAUUUUCUCCCCUCCAAAUUUCUCUCUUUUAAUCUUUUUUUAUUUGUUACAGUUACGAUUAAGUCACGUCAAUAUCUUGUAUUGAUUUUUUUAAGAAAGAGAAAGAUAAAGAGAAAGAUAAAGAGAAAAGUGAGAGAGGAGAGGAAGGGAGACAAUCCUACUUGGGUAUAGAAAUGCCUACUCGUAUUAGCCAAUCUGCGACAACAUUUUCCAAUACCCAUCAAAAUUGCUUUGGUUGAUAUUAUAUAGCUUCAAACAGUUGGUAAAUAAAAAUAAAAUUACAGAGAUUGAAAUCUUAAACUUGAUGGCAGAUUCUGAUUUGCAAGCCCUAAGGGUUUUGCCCAAAUGACGAAAGUGGUGGAGAAAUGAGUUAGAAUUAAAUUAGGUCAAAUAUCCGAUUCUCUUUUUUUAACAAAAUAAGUAAAUUAUUUAUUAGCUAGACUUGAGGGUGAGGUGCAAUUCCAUUAGCAAUCAAUGUACAUUGAGUCUUAGUUCAAUGUAGUUCUUCUGGCAUACUCGAGUUCUUAUUGUUUCUGCAAAUCCAAUAAUUUACAUUGCAGAACUUUGUAGGGAAAGCAUUUCAACUUUUUAAUAAGUUCCCAACAUCAUGGGUAUCCAAGUAAGAUAUUGCAACAGCAGCAUUGAGAGCAGCUCCUACAGAAGAAGCCUGUUCGUCGAUGACAAAUAGAGACGAGUGUAAUGGCUGGUCCGAUUUUAGACUUUCAUUCUUUAUCCCGAGAAAGAAAAUUGCAGCCGCAAACUUAUGCGAGUAGAAGCUGAAAUCCUCUGUUCCCAUGAUCAAUGGGUGAAGCUCCACAUUAGGUUCCCCGAGUAGGGCCUCACCUACCUUCUUUGCAUGCUCAUACAAUGCUUCAUUGUUAAUCAUCACUGGAUAAGGCAGCGGUGUUUCCUCCAUAAAGUCCACCGUGCCCUCACAUCGAUGCACGGCUGAUUGCAGUUCUAUGACCUGCAAGUGGAACAUACUGUAAGAGAAGCUAUACAAGCAAUUCACUCAAUUUGGUAAAAUGACCAAAUUUACCGAGUCCUACAAUAUGUGAUACACCGAUUUAAUGAACAACUAGAUUGGAAUGUUUUUAGUCAAGUAUACCAAAUCCAACCAUCCGCUGAAGCAUAGAAUCUCAUACACCGGUGCAUUGUAGAAUUUUAGCAAUUUUACCUCUUUGAUCCUUUCUUGGAUAUGGCUGAGUCCUUCCAUUGUCAAGCUCCUGAAAGUUCCCCCAAAGUUCACAGAAUCAGGGAUCACAUUUCCUGCUUCACCUCCCUUUAAGUACCCAACGGUCACCACCUACAUAACGGAACUGAUUCAACAUGCAAAUUGAUACACAAUUCAUAUCUAACAAUCCGCGAUUAUUGCAAUUUGAAAGAAAAUUUAUGUCUAUCAAACUUAUUCCAAUUUUUUUUUUCCUGAAAAAAAAAGGGGGAGGAGAAAAAUUACCCCGGCCUCAAGAGGAUUUGUCUCUCUUGAAACAAUCUGCUGAAGAGCCACAACAGCUGAUGCUGCUGCAAGAAUCGAGUCCUUAUUCUUAUGUGGAGCAGCUGCAUGCCCACCUUUUCCUUUGACUGUUGCUGAAAAAAGGCCAGAACCGGCUAGCAUUGGACCUGGCCGUGAAGCAAUGACACCAGUUGGUAGUUGGUAGUGAUGGCAUAACAUGUAUAAAGAAAAUGGCAUCAAUGUCGUUAAGAAUGCCAUGUUGUAACAUAUGGUAAGCUCCGGCAUAAACCUCUUCUCCAGGCUGAAAAACCAGCUUCACAGUUCCCUUUA